rnacentral:rRNA from 1 species
UCUACGGGCGUCUGCAGUGGGGAAUAUUGCACAAUGGGGGAAACCCUGAUGCAGCGACGCCGCGUGAGUGAAGAAGUAAUUCGUUAUGUAAAGCUCUAUCAGCAGGGAAGAAAAUGACGGUACCUGAGUAAGAAGCCCCGGCUAACUACGUGCCAGCAGCCGCGGUAAUACGUAGGGGGCACGCGUUAUCCGGAUUUACUGGGGGUAAAGGGAGCGUAGACGGCAGUGCAAGUCUGGAGUGAAAGGCGGGGGCUCAACCUCCGAACGGCUCUGGACAUUGUGCGGUUGGAGGGCAGAAGAGGUAAGUGGAAUUCCGAGUGUAGCGGUGAAAUGCGUAGAUAUUAGGAGGAACACCAGUGGCGAAGGCGACUUACUGGACUGUAACUGACGUUGAGGCUCGAAAGCGUGGGGAGCAAACAGGAUUAGAUACCCCAGUAGUC